CCGGGUUGCUGCGCUGUGGGAACCACCACUUGAGGCUUCGUUUGGCUGCUGGCUGGGCUUUUUGCCUUUGGCUCGGAGGAGCUCAGAAGUUGAACAUCCCUUAUUUUGGCUGCUGAUCCUUUAUUUUCGAGGCUGCUGGUCCCUUAUUUUCAAAUCUGUAAGUUGACAGCUAUGGGAGGCACACAGGGCAGGACCUCCAAAGCGGAGCUCAAUUUUCACAUAAAACUGCAUAUUUACCUCAAAGUAAGGAUUUCUAAACAUACUUUAAUCUAAAACAGCGUUUCCCAAACUUAGGUUCUCCAGCUGCUUUUGGACUACAGUUCCCAUCAUCCCCGAGCACUGUUCCUGCUAGCUAGGGAUGAUGGGGAGUUGCAUUCCAAAAACAGCUGGAGACCCAAGUUUGGGAAACACUGAUCUAAAACAAGGAGGGAGAACUUGCAGCCUUCCAGAUGUUGUUGGACUCCAACUCCCAUCAGCCCCAGUCAGCGUGGCGGAUGGACAGGAAUGGUGGGGGUUGUAGUCCAAAACAGGGACAGUCAAUAUGGCAGCUUUCGGCUGUCACUGAAUGCCAACUCUCAUCAGCCCCAACCAGCAAGACCACAUAGAUACAUUAAAAGGGGGAAAUAAAUACAGUGGUACCUCAGUUUUCGAAUGCCUCUGUAGUCGAACGUUUCGGAAUUUGAACGCCAAAAACCUGGAAGUAAGUGCCUUGGUUUUCAAACGCACCUUGGAACUCGAACAGGAAACAUGGCUUCCGUUUUGAGUUUUCCUUAUUGAGGCUUGCGUUUUGAGGCUUCUGCUUUUCGAACGUUUCAGAACUCGAACGGACUUCUGGAAUCAGCUUACGUUCAAAAACCGAAGUACCACUUUACAUUGAAAACAUCCCGACCACUUCUAAAAUGCCACGGAUAGUUAAAGGCUUCCUUAACGGAGGAAAGUUUUUGCCUUGCAUCUAUAAUGAAGGGCCAGGCAAGCCUCCCUGGGGAGAGCGUUCCACAAACAGAGCAGAAAAAGCCCCAUUCUUGUGUUGCCACCGUCCGGACUAGAGAUGGGAAGACCUGGAAAAAAACUGGAAAAAUUUGGGGGGGACCCAGGUUUUUUCCUUUUCCCCCCAAAGCCGUUUCCCCCCUGAAAAUUUGAAAAAAAUAGUUUGAUAUAGUUUGAAUAUUCCACACAUUAUUCCCCCCCCUCAAAUUUUCCUGAAAAAAAAGGCUUUGGGAAAAACCCGAAAAAACCCUGUCAUCCCCUCCCCCCAAUGUUUCUGUUUUUCCCCCAGACCUUCCAGCACCCACACUUUGGAGCUCUUGCUGUAGGUGCUCUCACUGUACUCUUUCUGGCAACUUCUCAAAACAUUUUCAUUAGGGCCAUCCCAUCUGAACACGUAUGUAGAAGCUGCAUGCGAUUUACUUCCUUUUAACCACUGCUGACCUUAAUCAUCUUUUGAAUACUCUUAAAUACCUGCUUUUAACUAUUUUAUCAAUCAUUUUAAUGUUCUGUUGUAUAUUUUUGCCAACUAUUUAGAAAGCUCUCUUACUAUCAUGUGGUUUAUAAUAUAUAAUAACAAAUUCAAUUUAAAAAACACACACACUCAUUUUCCUUUCAAAGAGAGUUUGAGCCUUAGUGCAACGUACUAUUCAGUAACUGGAUGUUGGUUACUUCUGGGCCUGGCAUGCAAAAAAUUUGCCUUAUGCUUUGCCCCGGCUGUCCUCAAGUAGAGAUGGGAAGGCCUGGAAAAAACACAGAAAAAUUGGGGAAAAAACAGGUUUUCCCCUGGGUUUUUCCAAAGCCAUUUUCUAGAAGUCCAUGAGAAAAAUGACAAAGAGGAAGAGGAAGAAGAAAUUGAAAAUGAUAGCAGUAGUUCAGAAAAUGAGAUAGAAUAAACUGCAUGUAUAAGUUGUGUCUUGGUUUGUUUUUGGUUUUUUUAAACACUACUCAAAGGGUAGACCUUCUAUGGAGCUUCAAUAUUGAGGUGGACCUUAACUUUAUUUGCUGUUGGUGCUAAGGGGCAAAUGUGAUUAUUUUUUAUGUUGAUGGUUUCUUGCUUUUUUGUUGCUUUUGAGGGAAACUGGGGUGGUUACCUGUUUUAUUGCAAAUAUAAUACUUUUAUAUACACUGCAUUUCAUGCAAUUUGUAAAACUGCUCCACACUGAACUUUUUUCAAUUUUUCCAAAAUUUCUAUUUUUUCUGGAAAAAAACGGUGGGGGGGGGGAUCCCCCCCCAUUGCUUUGAAAUUUCCAGAACGUUUACAUCUCCACUCUGGACCUCUCGUGGACGAGUCCCACAAAGAUCUGAAAACUAAGAUGCAGAUGAUGCUGGUCGCUAGGUUGCUGUCAAGGCAAACUAAAUUUGAUUUGCUCAUUCUAAGUGUGCUCUGAUCUAUUUUAGCUAUUUUUUUGUAACUAGGUUGUUUUGAUUACUUUGUGUUUUGCAGUGGCAUUUUUAAGUGUUGGAAGGCUACCUUGAAUCCCAACUUGGGAGAAAGGCGGGAUAGAAAUACCAUAUUUUUUGCUCUAUAAGACUCACCUUUUCCCUCCUAAAAAAUAAGGGGAAAUGUGUGUGCGUCUUAUGGAGCGAAUGCAGGCUGCACAGCUAUCCCAGAAGCCAGAACAGCAAGAGGGAUUGCUGCUUUCACUGCGCAGCGAUCCCUCUUGCUGUUCUGGCUUCUGAGAUUCAGAAUAUUUUUUUUCUUGUUUUCCUCCUCCAAAAACUAGGUGCAUCUUAUGGUCUGGUGCGUCUUAUAGAGCAAAAAAUACAGUACAUUAAACAAAUAAAUAAACUUUGGUUGCUCCGCCCCCUUUCCUCUGGCUCCGCCCCCCGCUGGCAUGCGGCCCCCGGAAGGAGGGAACGCGGCUCUUUGGCCAUCCCCAGUCUUUUUGUUCUCCUAGCCCUUUGUUGCUUGUUAGAAACCGCUGGAUCUUUCCCUCUGAUUUCAUAUCUUUGAAUUCCCUUUCUUUUAUUGUUCCUGACCUACAGCCUGCUUAUACCAGCCAAUCUCCGUUCAAUUGAUUCUCUUCCUCUUUAAAAAUAAGCACACAAAACAAAACAAAAAAAAUCCCUCUAAGACUCAUUUAUUUCAGCUGGCCUUUGUCUAAUUGUUUUUCACCUUCUCUUCCUCUUGCAGCUUUCCCAUUUAUUUUUAGUUUCGUUUCUCAUUACAGGUCUGUGGGGCAGGAGUUUUGUACACCACUUGGUUUGGGUGGAUUUUUAUUUUUUUUAAAUGUGCUUCAUUAUAUAUAAUUUUAAUCUCACUCCUUGGCUAGGAAAAAGCUCCCAUAGCGAUAUACAAAGAUUGGAAAUAGGGGGUUGUAGCCAACUAAGUUCUACUCAGAGUAAAUCCAUUGAAAUUAACGGACCUGGAGUAAUCAUCUAACAUGGGAUACAACCCAAUUUAUUUUCUGCCCUCAGGCUUUCAAAUGGAAACAAAGUCAUGGCAUUAGAAGAAACGUGGUUUGGGAGGGAGGAGGAAAAAGCAAGAGAAGAAGAAGAAGAAGAGGAGGAGUAGUAGUUUGGAUUUGAUAUCCUGCUUUAUCACUACCCUAAGGAGUCUCAAAGUGGCUAGCAAUCUCCUUUCCCUUCCUCCCCAACAAGAAACACCCAGUGAGGUGAGAGACUUCAGAGAAGUGUGACUAGCCCAAGGUCGCCCAGCAGCUGCAUGUGGAGGAGCAGGGAAUCGAACCUGGUUCACCAGAUUACGAGUCCACUGCUCUUAACCACUAUACCACACUGGCUCUCAGUGAGUAAACCCAGGCACCAUUUCUGUGUUGCAAAAUUCUGUGUUGCAAAAUUCAGCAGAACAACAAACAAACCUAUGGUCACGUAAAGCAUACUCAAUAAACACACAAGACUGUAAAAUGUGUGAGAUCAUGAUAUUGUAUUUAUUUGCAUUACUUAGAGCUUUAGGUACUGAUGAAGCCCAGGAUGGCGAAACAAGGCCAAUAUUCCAGAAAUCCUUGUCUAGAUUCUGCGUAAGGAUUUUGUGGAACUGUAACAACCUUUCAUGUGGAUUUUUUGGACUUUACGAACAGACAGAUGGAAUAGACACCAUUACACGGAUGGACCUUAUGCAUGAACUGACUAAAGAAUGAUCCUAUCCACUGGGUCUUCUGCUUUGUUUGUUUGUUGAACUUUAUGAGUUACUUCCAUUGAAAUUUAUAAUUUGAUACUAUGAACAGUAUGCCUUAUUUAUCUAAGAACACAGCUGGUUACGUCUUGUGUGUUUAUUGAGCAAAAUUCAGCAGGGCAAGGAGCAGGAUCUAAGCACAGUGCAAUAGCGGCUGUUUCUUUCCCUCAAGGAUGGCAGCCUUUGGUCAGAGGAAAGUCUCCGAAAUGCGAAUGAUGAGAGGACUCGCGUAAACUUGAUUCAGAAUCUGCUUGGUAUUUCUGGCCUUUCUUGGAUAAGCCUUAGGGAAAGCCAAGAGCUCUCCUGCCUCGCAGUGUUGGCCCCAGUGCGGUGAGGGCGCCAUGGGCAUGCUAAAGCUGGGCACUGGAUUUGGCUGAGCCCCAAGCCCACCAGGCCCAUUUGCAGGGAUUUCAGGCAUUGGGGGAUGGCCACAAAUCUCUCUGAGUUGAGAUGGAAGUCCCAGAGUGACCCAGGGCCAUCAAGGGGCAGGGCAUCAGGCAGGAAAACCCACAAAAAAUGUUGGCACCGACCUGACCACCACCUGCAUCUUCUCAGAAGGUAGGAACACACCACCGCCUGGCCCACCUUCCUGCCCAAUGCCCAAACCCUGCCCAAUCCUGGCAGGGCAGGCUCUUACUUUCAACCAAGUUUCCCACAGAGAAGCAAAACCAAGAGAGAGAGAAGUUCCUGCAUUGCAGGGGGUUGGACUAGAUGACCCUUGGAGCCCCUUCCAACUCUAUGAUUCUGUGUUUCUCUCCAACAGCCUAUGGAAAGCCCAAUGCAUUUUGGAGAAAUUCCUUCAUCAGGGGCAUUUUAAAGAGAAACAGGUAUGGUAUAUGGAAUUUUAAAAAUAAUAUUUCAAACAAUUUGGGGGGGGGUGACACCUAAGAGGGUUAGUUUCCUGUAUGGAGGUGAAUAGGGUAAUGUAACCAUGCCUGUAUAUAUGCGUUUUCAAGACAUUUGUUUCAUUUUGCAUAGAUUUUAAGAGCCUGUUAGUACUUCUGCAUGUGUUGUUAUGUUACAGUUAAAUUGUUUGAAAGAUUAUUUUUAAAAAAUCAGUAUAUAAAGCUCUUUUCAAGAUACCCCCGAUGAAGGAAUUUCUCUGAAAUGCGUUGGGAUUUUAAUAAAUAGCUUGCGGCACUUCUAUCCCCCUUGGUUUUGCUGGUUGGUGCCGUGCCUUCCCUGCUGUUGGUUUCUCCACAGAGAAGCCACUUGCGAAGGAAAACCCUGCAGGAUUGAACCCCCUGCUGUUGCUUGGGGGGUGCGGAAACGAAACACAGCAUCUCCUUCCCCUGCCCCCCUCCUAACCUUAAGUUUAAUCAGGUGUUUUCUUUACCCUAAAUCCCUGCCCCAAACUAAUUCCGGACUGGAUCUUGUGGGGCACUAUUGCAGUCAAACCAACAAGUCAUGCUUUGCCAGAUGGGCACAUGAAGGGGCUGAAGUUCACAGAACUUUCCUGUAAAAUUUGCUAGAGAGAACUCUGUGAGAUCACUUCCUCUGUCUGCUCUGGCAGGGAACUGUAACACUACAUACAGUACAGUCAUACCUCAUGUUGCGUUUGCUUCAGGUUGAGCGAUUCAGGUUGCGUCCCGCAGCGACCUGGAAGUACCAGAAAGGGUUACUUCCGGGUUUCGCCGCUCACGCAUGUGCAGACGCUCAAAAUGAUGUCACGUGCAUGCGCAGAAGCGGCGAAUCACAACCCGUGCAUGCGCAGACCAUGACACCUCCUUGGUGAAGCCCCACCACUGCAGAGAUUCCUCCUAUGUCCUCUCUUCCUGUUUUUGGGCUGUCAGCUUUCUACCGAUAACCAGCUGUUUUAUUCCAAUAGCCCCAGUUGGGCGAAAGGAAUGGAGAGGAAUUUCGUCUCCUUUGCAUUUUAAAGCCAACAAGCAGUAUAGCCAACAAUAAUCUGCAGUUCACAGAAUUUGCAACAAACAAUCGGAUUGCGCAACUCUCUGACUUUUUGCUAUGCAGUUUUGGUUCAAAAAUCUCUUGCGGGGAAACGCAUACCAAAACUGUGUGUUCUAGGGAAUGCACAGAAAAGGUGUAUUUUAGGAGAAGAGAAAACAGCAACCAGGCUUUCCAGUUAUCCAAAACUUUUCAACAAGCUGGAUAUGAAACACAAUAUUCCCAACAGUUUGGGGGUGGGGGUGCGAGGAACGGGGGGGGGGAGGAAAAGGCUGGCAGAGGGAACAGCUGCUCAGUGGGAAAGAUGGGAUGUGACUGCCAGGGUAAACUCAGUGGAGGCUGCUCUGGAAGGGCAAACGGGGCACUGCCCCACAAACCUCAGUUUGCCCUCAGUCAGCUCCCACUUGCCUGCCUUCUAAAUGGCACACAGUCCAAGGAGUGGCCCUGCCUGCCAGUUUCCUCCUCCUUACUCGGUUGUUGCCCAUUUAAAACUUAGCAGAGAGGAGGAAGUAGACGCAACCAGAAUUAGGUGGCUCUGCCUAUUGCUGAUUCUGGCUCUAGCGCCAUCUACUGUUGGGCUCCCUGCCUUCCCGCCCAUCAGUCCUAAUGGAUACCAGCCACCACUGCCUAGAAACUUAAAUUGUCACCACGAGACUGGCAACGUUCAAUGGCAAUGCUGUGUGUCUGUUGGGAGCAAUGGAUAACUGUGGGAGGGAAAUGGAAUGGAGUAUUCUGGGAAAGGAGCACUGUGCCCUGAAACUGCCAGGCUACAACAGAGAGAGGGAGAGGGAUAUGGUGCUGCAGGGCCUUACGGUCAGCUCAACUCAGAGACCGGCGACUUUGGGCUCCUCUUCUCCUGAAGAACUCCAUGCAAGACUCCAUGACUAAGAAGAAACAUCCUUGUUUGAGAGAGCGAGCAGAAGAUAAAGUGUACUGAAACACAGUAAAAUGUGAUUUAAAUGGUUUCCCACUUUGAAAACUAAGCUAGCAUAUAAAUAUUCUAAGUAAAUAAAUACGGUCUUCUUGUAAACGCUUCAUAAUGCGUUUUUUCGGGUUAAGAAGGCGGCAAACCCAGAAGUGUUUACUUCUGGGUUUUGCUGUGUGCGCACACGCAGAAGCGUUCUGCGCGGUUCACGCAUGUGCAGAAGUGCUCUAUCGCGCUUUGCACAUGCGCAGAAGUGCCACUCUGGUUACUGACUUUUCAGGGUGCGAACAGCACCCCAGAACGGAUUGUGUCCACAACCAGAGGUACCACUGUACGAGGGAGUGCCUGGGUUUGUUUCCUCCCUCCUCCCUCCUCCUCCCUCUUUCCUUUUGUGUCAUGUCUUUUAGAUUAUAAACCAACAGUCAGGGGUCAUCAUGGAAAAGCGCGCGCGCGCGCGCACACACACACACACGUGUAUAUAUGUGUGAUAGACACACACACAUAAUACACAUUUAUACAUACACCAGUGUGGUAUAGUAGUUUGAAUGUCAGACUAGGGCCUGGGAGACUGGAAUUCAAAUCCCUGCACAGCCACUUCCUGCUGGCUUCUGGUGUUUUUCAGGCCAUGACUGCUGCCUGCAAUAUGGCUUGCCUAGAGCAGCUGCUUGAAGCCAUCGCCGUGCCAGAAGGUGGAGGGUGGGGGGAGGCCAGAAGACCCGCGGAACAAGAUUUCCUGCGGGAGCCUUGCCGUUUGACUCUGCUCCCGUCUUGCGGUUCCUCCGGAGCACAAUUCCAGACAAGCGUGGCGUGAAGCGAGCCUGGGGGUUCUUUGAUACGCUGCUCCGAGGGAAGCCUCCGGAGAGACGCUUUCAAAGCCGGCAGCUUAGCUCCCUUCGGAUGGUUUUGCCUUUCAUCCGGAAGAUGGCAGGAAGAGAGAGAGUGAGUUGUGGGGGGAACUUAAGUGGAAACGGGGAAGGCUGAUGCCUGUCUGUUCUCCUUGGGCAGGGGAGAGAGGCUUUUGGGAAGAGAAAGGAGGCCUUUGCGGAUACGGCACUUGCAACACGGGGCCCCGUAUGCACCAUAUGUUUAAAGCGGUGUCAUACCACUCUGCACAAUAGUCACGGUUCAUAAACUCCAACAUGUCCAGGGGGUAAAAACAGGAUCCCGCCCCCCCCCCCGUGCGAGAUCGCACAAGAUCAUGCCACCUAAAAUGGCUACCAUGCUCUCGUAUGGAGAAGCAGGAUGUCCCAGUUUUACCAGGACAGUUGCAGAGUAUGAUGGUUUCCCUUAGAGAAUCAUGGGAAUUGUAGUUCCUUAAAGGUGCUAGUUGCAGAGAGGUUUAACAAUACAGUGGUACCUUAGCUUUCGAGAGUCUCGGAAGCUGAACGUUUUGGUUUAUGAACGCUGAAAACCCGGAAGUAAAUGCUUCUGUUUUUGAACACGCCUCGGAAGUCGAAUGGCUUCCACUGCGUUUCUCCCCAAUUUUAUCCAUUGAAACUGCAGACCGCUCUUUGCGCCUCAGUUUUCGAAUGUUUUGGAAGCCAAACAGUCUUCCGGAAUGGAUUACGUUUGAAAACCGAGGUACCACUGUAAUUCCCUCUUCCCAGGGAAUUACAGUUCCCAAGAUUGUUUGGGGAAAGCCGUGGCUGCUCAAAGCAGUGUAAUACUACUUCAAGUGUGUUGUGUCGCUGGGGCAGACACAACCUGUCCACUCAAAUUCUACAGAAAUUAUUUCUCCAGGGUCACCAAUGCAUCAUCCACAGGCACCAGUGUACCUGACAGGACCUUCUGUACCUGCCCAGGAAGGGUCUCACUAAAUGUUCCCUCAAAAAUCCACAAUUCAUGGGAGACCAUUUGCACUUUCUGCUCAGUUCCUGCUUGCACCAGCUUGACAUUUCCUAGACUGAACACGCCCCCCUGGAUCAUGCCCACAUUUCAUUUGUUGCCAGGCUGGGCACCAUCCAUCCUUGGUUCUGAGCAAAGGAGAAGUUCAAAGAGCCUCUCUGUGAACAAACAUGCCAGUGGCUGAUGGAGGUGCCUUUCUCUCCCCAUUGAUGGGGGAGGGCCUAUCCAUACCAUUUUGUGGCCAUGUCUCUCCCUCACUGCAGUUUUCAAUAUGGCAGUUAUUAUGCCAUGCCCACCCCCAAUCACCACUUUGUGUUUUGCCACACCCAGAGCAGCCAUUUUGUGGUAUGCCACACACCCCAUGGCGGCCAUUUUGCAAAACCCAUGGCACUUUCUCAAGAUUACAAGUGUGCCCACUGGCUCAAAUAUUUAAGUGACUCCUGCUUUGUACUGUUCUUGUCACCCCAUAGGAAAACAGGAAGCUGGCUUAUCUUGUCCCAGUGGAAUCCAUACAAAUUCAUCCAUGUAGUCCAUCCACACACAGCCAUAAAACAGGAUCCUGCUUUUUCAGCUAGCGCAUGAAGACAGCACAUGGAGAAGGAAGGUGAUCUCUUACUUCACGAGUAGUGUGACCAGUGAGUGGCUACAGUGGCGUAGCAUGGGGGCACAGGGGCGGUUGCCCUGGGCACAAAAUUGUUCAGGGUGCAAAAUUUCACCACCCGUUGCUGCCUCAGUACAGCUGUUUGCUGGGCUCUGUUGAAAACAGCUUCUCCAUGUGAACCAGGAAGUGACUUCUCCAGACAACAGAACAACUCUUCUUUUCUUAUCUCUGUGGCUGGAAUCUCCUGGAUACCGUUAGGAAGUUGAAUGUGCAUACGUACUCCUUCUGUUUCCCUCUUUACAUGUGGCCCCGGGCGCUGGCAAGCCACGCUACACCACUGAGUGACUGCUACCCAUUGGGGCUGGUAGGACUGAAGACAGGGAGCUCACCAGUAGGUGGAGUGAGAGCAGAGCCAAGCCAUUCAAGUUGUGUCCCCAUCCUCCUCCUAAUCCUUGCUGAGUUCUACAAGGGGUGACACUGAGACUAAGGAUGAGGAAGCUGGCAGGCGGGGACACCCUCUGGGUUGAAUUCAACAUCAAGCCAGCUUUUCUCUUCCCUGCCUACUCCAGCCCUGCCUGCCACCCACUUCUGGGCACUAUAGAUAAGGCUUGGUGCAGGAAAGGUUUCCUUGCCCACAGUCUCCCUUAUCACUGUUCCUCUGCCAAGAGUGGAACAGCCUGUGUAUGGGACGACGUCCCUGCCCAGCCUGGCAGCCCUGCAUCCAUAAUUCUCUGCAUCCCCAAUUAAGUGGCCAAGCCCUGCUGUAAAAGCAAGAGAUGGGGAAUUAUUGAUCAGACAUGGCUGAGGCCGUGCCAAGUCCUCCCACUGCAGAUCUGCUGCCUCCUUUGCAGCAGCUUCUCGAAUCCCGGGGGAGGCUUCCCAUGCAGUCCAUAAGGAGUCACAACUCUACGGCGACAGCAGAAACCUCAGGCCUGACCGGGGGAUGUGGGAGAGAAUGUGGCCCUUGGAACCUCUCUGCCUGGCCCCCAAGACUCUCUUAUCCCAUUCUCCACAGGCCACACCCACUGCUGACCCUCUUUGCAUCCUCCUUGAGUGCUUUUGCCUGGCCUUGAACUCUGAUUGUGACUCUUCUGUGUCCAGAUCUGUGAUAGAGAGGUGGGGUGAGUAUGUGUAGGAACUAGCUGAUUGUGGCAUUCAUUUCUCUUGCUUCUGGCCCUCCCUUCCCACUGGCAUGUGGCCCCCAGCAGGUUUCCCAUAAGGGAAUGUCACCCCUGGGCUACAAAAGGUUCCCCACCCCUUGCUCUAUAGCCACUGAACUCCUCCUUUGCCACAAGGAAGACUGCCUAGAUGGAACCUUUGGGGGUGAGCAGCACUUUUGCUGCAGCAGCAAAAUUGGCUUUUUUUCUUUUCCUGCAGUGCCUUACUGCUAGGGCUGGGAUUAACCUCCUCUGCUAGGACUCACCUCUUUCAUUUGAGAAGUUCUUUAGUCUUGAAUGGAUCCCUGGACCACUUCAUCCUCACCCAUCCCCUUUAUGCUAUAGUGCGAUGCUACAGAAAUGUUCCAUGCUCAGAACACCGACGCUGGCAGUUCAUGAUGCUCACCUUAAAUAUAAAAGUUGACAAUUAAUGCCCCUGACUUCUUCUCCAGCUCAGACCCAGGGUUCUCUCCUUCACUUUCCUACGGCAAAAGUGAUCACUACAUGAUCACUCGGAAUGGGAAUAGGACUUGGUUUCUGCAGUGGCCCUGAUGCCUCUGUCUCUUCAGGGAAAGAUCACAAGGCCAGACUCCCUUUGACCUGAACUAGUAAUAUUACCAUCCUUGGCCUCUGAAGCCACUGCUAUGCCCCUUUAAGCGUCGAGGCCUCACUCAUAGAGUAUCAUAGAAUUGUGGAGAUGGAAAGGACCUAAGGAUCAUCUAGUCCAGGCAUAGGCAAACUCGGCCCUCCAGAUGUUUUGGGACAACAACUUCUACCACCCCUAGCUAACAGGACCAGUGGUCAGGGAUGAUGAUGAGAGUUGUAAUCCCAAAACAUCUGGAGGGCCGAGUUUGCCUAUGCCUGAUCUAGUCCAACCCCUUGCAAUGCAGAAAUAUGCAGCUGUCCCAUAUGGGGAUCGAAUAUGCAGCCAUGGCGUCAUCAGCACCACGCUCUAACCAACUGAGCUAUCCAUUAAUAGGAGUGGGGAACCUGUGGCCCUUCAAAUUUUGUUGUACUGCAGCACUUAUCAUCCCUGACCAUUGGCUAUACUGGCUGGGGCUAAUAGGACUUGGAGUGCAAUAACAUCUGGAGCUGUACAGGCUAAAGGAAGCUGAAAACCCAUUUAAGGCUCAGGCAGAAUUUGCUCACAAUGCUCAAGGCUUGCAGCCUCCACUGGGCGCUCUCCAUGGUGCUAACUCAUUUCCCACCUCCCUCCUACUUCUCUAACUUUGCAUGUAGGACCUGCAUAGACUACAAAGCAUGUGAUGCACUGUGACUGAGUGGGGAGGGAGGGAGGGAGGGAGAGAGAGAGAGAGAGAGAGAGAGAGAGAGAGAGAGAGAGAGAGAAGAGUAAGCAUGAUGCUGUAAUGGGUAUUGUAGCAAAGGCACAUUGAGACAACUAAGUCUCCCACACAUUUCAGCUCCAAAUUCACCUUCAGAACAAAAGGGUGCAUGUAACAAAACAAUCAUUCCAAAUAGGAGUGAUGCUGUUCAGGAUUCCAGUUAGCCACACCUUCUUUCAGGAUGUUCUAAGCUGUGAGGGGCUGAAGCAGGUGUUGUUUGUAGGGGUUGCCAGAUGCCCAUAUCAGAUGCCCAUGGGAGGUUCACAAGCAGAACUUGAGUGCCAGAACACUCUACCCACUUCUGAUUCCCAGCGAUUGGGAUUCAGGGGCCUCCUGCCUCUGAUAGUGGCGGGAGAACAUAGUAGCUAUUUUGGCUAUAGUCACUGAUAGCCUUAACCUCCAUGAAUUUGUCUAAUCCGUAGUUUAAAGCCAUCUGAGUUGGUGUCCAUCAUCAUCAGAAUCUGUGUCUGGCUGCCCCAUGUGGUGAAUCACAGAACUGCAAAUGGCAGCCUUCUUAGUGCAAAGAACCGUCCAGAUUGACUCCACCUGCCAGGGCUGAUCAUUAGAUGCUACUAGUCAGGGCUUCUUUUGCCAACUGAGCCUUCCUUAAGCAGCAUGUUCUUCCUGAGCUCUGGUCUGCUCCUGCAUCCUUAUGUGCACUCUCUCUCUCUCUCUUAGUCCUGCUGGUUUGCUGGCUUGAUCCUUGUCUCUGCCUCUGGGUUUCUCUUUCAGUUCUGCCUGGCACCUCAGCCAUGAUUCCUG